AACGAACGCUGGCGGCAUGCCUAACACAUGCAAGUCGAACGAAGUCUUCGGACUUAGUGGCGCACGGGUGCGUAACGCGUGGGAAUCUGCCCUUGGGUGCGGAAUAACUUCUCGAAAGGGAUGCUAAUACCGCAUAAUGUCGUAAGACCAAAGAUUUAUCGCCCAAGGAUGAGCCCGCGUAAGAUUAGCUAGUUGGUGGGGUAAAAGCCUACCAAGGCGACGAUCUUUAGCUGGUCUGAGAGGAUGAUCAGCCACACUGGGACUGAGACACGGCCCAGACUCCUACGGGAGGCAGCAGUGGGGAAUAUUGGACAAUGGGCGAAAGCCUGAUCCAGCAAUGCCGCGUGAGUGAUGAAGGCCUUAGGGUUGUAAAGCUCUUUUACCCGGGAUGAUAAUGACAGUACCGGGAGAAUAAGCCCCGGCUAACUCCGUGCCAGCAGCCGCGGUAAU
rnacentral:rRNA from 1 species